UUAAGCGACUAAGCGUACACGGUGGAUGCCCUGGCAGUCAGAGGCGAUGAAGGGCGUGCUAAUCUGCGAUAAGCGCCGGUAAGGUGAUAUGAACCGUUAUAACCGGCGAUACCCGAAUGGGGAAACCCAGUGUGACUCGUCACACUAUCAUUAACUGAAUCCAUAGGUUAAUGAGGCGAACCGGGGGAACUGAAACAUCUAAGUACCCCGAGGAAAAGAAAUCAACCGAGAUUCCCCCAGUAGCGGCGAGCGAACGGGGAGGAGCCCAGAGCCUGAAUCAGCAUGUGUGUUAGUGGAAGCGUCUGGAAAGGCGCGCGAUACAGGGUGACAGCCCCGUACACAAAAGCGCAUGUGCUGUGAGCUCGAUGAGUAGGGCGGGACACGUGGUAUCCUGUCUGAAUAUGGGGGGACCAUCCUCCAAGGCUAAAUACUCCUGACUGACCGAUAGUGAACCAGUACCGUGAGGGAAAGGCGAAAAGAACCCCGGCGAGGGGAGUGAAAAAGAACCUGAAACCGUGUACGUACAAGCAGUGGGAGCCCCACCACCAAAGCAUUCUCUGGUGUUGAAGGCCCUGCAAAGCAGCAUCGCGGUGGCGGAGCGUCGUUUGCGACGCCCAACACACAAAACAAGCGGUGAGUGCUUUGGGGUGGGGUGACUGCGUACCUUUUGUAUAAUGGGUCAGCGACUUAUAUUCUGUAGCAAGGUUAACCGAAUAGGGGAGCCGGAGGGAAACCGAGUCUUAAUUGGGCGUUAAGUUGCAGGGUAUAGACCCGAAACCCGGUGAUCUAGCCAUGGGCAGGUUGAAGGUUGGGUAACACUAACUGGAGGACCGAACCGACUAAUGUUGAAAAAUUAGCGGAUGACCUGUGGCUGGGGGUGAAAGGCCAAUCAAACCGGGAGAUAGCUGGUUCUCCCCGAAAGCUAUUUAGGUAGCGCCUCGUGAAUUCAUCUCCGGGGGUAGAGCACUGUUUCGGCUAGGGGGCCAUCCCGGCUUACCAACCCGAUGCAAACUGCGAAUACCGGAGAAUGUUAUCACGGGAGACACACGGCGGGUGCUAACGUCCGUCGUGAAGAGGGAAACAACCCAGACCGCCAGCUAAGGUCCCAAAGUCAUGGUUAAGUGGGAAACGAUGUGGGAAGGCCCAGACAGCCAGGAUGUUGGCUUAGAAGCAGCCAUCAUUUAAAGAAAGCGUAAUAGCUCACUGGUCGAGUCGGCCUGCGCGGAAGAUGUAACGGGGCUAAACCAUGCACCGAAGCUGCGGCAGCGACACUGUGUGUUGUUGGGUAGGGGAGCGUUCUGUAAGCCUGUGAAGGUGGCCUGUGAGGGUUGCUGGAGGUAUCAGAAGUGCGAAUGCUGACAUAAGUAACGAUAAAGCGGGUGAAAAGCCCGCUCGCCGGAAGACCAAGGGUUCCUGUCCAACGUUAAUCGGGGCAGGGUGAGUCGACCCCUAAGGCGAGGCCGAAAGGCGUAGUCGAUGGGAAACGGGUUAAUAUUCCCGUACUUGGUGUUACUGCGAAGGGGGGACGGAGAAGGCUAUGUUGGCCGGGCGACGGUUGUCCCGGUUUAAGCGUGUAGGUGUGUGUUCCAGGUAAAUCCGGUUCACUUUAACACUGAGGCGUGACGACGAGGCACUACGGUGCUGAAGCAACAAAUGCCCUGCUUCCAGGAAAAGCCUCUAAGCAUCAGGUAACAUCAAAUCGUACCCCAAACCGACACAGGUGGUCAGGUAGAGAAUACCAAGGCGCUUGAGAGAACUCGGGUGAAGGAACUAGGCAAAAUGGUGCCGUAACUUCGGGAGAAGGCACGCUGACACGUAGGUGAAGUGAUUUACUCACGGAGCUGAAGUCAGUCGAAGAUACCAGCUGGCUGCAACUGUUUAUUAAAAACACAGCACUGUGCAAACACGAAAGUGGACGUAUACGGUGUGACGCCUGCCCGGUGCCGGAAGGUUAAUUGAUGGGGUCAGCGCAAGCGAAGCUCCUGAUCGAAGCCCCGGUAAACGGCGGCCGUAACUAUAACGGUCCUAAGGUAGCGAAAUUCCUUGUCGGGUAAGUUCCGACCUGCACGAAUGGCGUAAUGAUGGCCAGGCUGUCUCCACCCGAGACUCAGUGAAAUUGAACUCGCUGUGAAGAUGCAGUGUACCCGCGGCAAGACGGAAAGACCCCGUGAACCUUUACUAUAGCUUGACACUGAACAUUGAGCCUUGAUGUGUAGGAUAGGUGGGAGGCUUUGAAGUGUGGACGCCAGUCUGCAUGGAGCCGACCUUGAAAUACCACCCUUUAAUGUUUGAUGUUCUAACGUGGACCCGUAAUCCGGGUUGCGGACAGUGUCUGGUGGGUAGUUUGACUGGGGCGGUCUCCUCCUAAAGAGUAACGGAGGAGCACGAAGGUUGGCUAAUCCUGGUCGGACAUCAGGAGGUUAGUGCAAUGGCAUAAGCCAGCUUGACUGCGAGCGUGACGGCGCGAGCAGGUGCGAAAGCAGGUCAUAGUGAUCCGGUGGUUCUGAAUGGAAGGGCCAUCGCUCAACGGAUAAAAGGUACUCCGGGGAUAACAGGCUGAUACCGCCCAAGAGUUCAUAUCGACGGCGGUGUUUGGCACCUCGAUGUCGGCUCAUCACAUCCUGGGGCUGAAGUAGGUCCCAAGGGUAUGGCUGUUCGCCAUUUAAAGUGGUACGCGAGCUGGGUUUAGAACGUCGUGAGACAGUUCGGUCCCUAUCUGCCGUGGGCGCUGGAGAACUGAGGGGGGCUGCUCCUAGUACGAGAGGACCGGAGUGGACGCAUCACUGGUGUUCGGGUUGUCAUGCCAAUGGCACUGCCCGGUAGCUAAAUGCGGAAGAGAUAAGUGCUGAAAGCAUCUAAGCACGAAACUUGCCCCGAGAUGAGUUCUCCCUGAGACUUUAAGUCUCCUGAAGGAACGUUGAAGACGACGACGUUGAUAGGCCGGGUGUGUAAGCGCAGCGAUGCGUUGAGCUAACCGGUACUAAUGAACCGUGAGGCUUAACCUU
rnacentral:rRNA from 1 species